rnacentral:tRNA from 2 species
GCCCAGCUAGCUCAGAUGGCAGAGCAUGAGACUCUUAAUCUCAGGGUCAUGGGUUCAAGCCCCAUGUUGGGUG